rnacentral:rRNA from 1 species
AUUGAACGCUGGCGGGAGGCCUUACACAUGCAAGUCGAGCGAGCGGCGGACGGGUGAGUAAUGUCUGGGAACCUGCCUGAUGGAGGGGGAUAACUACUGGAAACGGUAGCUAAUACCGCAUACCAUCAGAUGUGCCGCGAUGGGAUUAGCUAGUAGGUGGGGUAACGGCUCACCUAGGCGACGAUCCCUAGCUGGUCUGAGAGGAUGACCAGCCACACUGGAACUGAGACACGGUCCAGACUCCUACGGGAGGCAGCAGUGGGGAAUAUUGGACAAUGGGCGCAAGCCUGAUGCAGCAAUGCCGCGUGUAUGAGGAAGGCCUUCGGGUUGUAAAGUACUUUCGGCGGGGAAGCGGUACCCGCAGAAGAAGCACCGGCUAACUCCGUGCCAGCAGCCGCGGUAAUAC